UCGUGGAGUGAUCUGUCUGCUUAAUUGCGUUUCAGAUAAAAAAGAUAAAAAAAGAUAUAGGUUAAGUUACACUUUACAGUGUUUCCUUUAGCUGAGUCUACUAUCUUUGAAAGCAACGAACGUGACCGCAACCCUUUGUUGUGUACACACGUGUACAUUCAAACUAAGGGGACCGCCAGGGUUGUAAAACCGGAGGAAGGUUGCGGCAAUAACA
rnacentral:rRNA from 1 species